CCAUGAACUGAACUAACGAGCUGAUGAUCUCAAUCAAGUGUGUUAAAUAAGGGAGACAUGCAAAAUGUGCAGAGCAGGGGUCCUCUAGGACUGGGACUUCCCUGAGCAGAAGCUCUCUGGCAAGGUCAGGCCUUCCCACGCGGGUCAAGCAGCGGGCCAGCAUGGGGCAUUUCAGAGUUGAGGAAGGGAGGCCCCGCCUCCACGCUGUUAGAACAUGAAAGGACUGUUGUGAGAGGCUGUGUGGUGCACGGAGUCGAGCGAUCUGGACAGCUGAGCGUCGGAGAUGGAGAGAUGUAAUGAGAAGCGCUGCAUCAUCCUCGAGUGAGCGGCAGCCGACAGACAGGCUCUCCCAAAGGACAGUCUAUAGACACGGCCGCCCUGUCACCAUUCCAGACCAGCUGAUCUUUGGCGACCUUGAAUAAACUGAUUACACCUUUGUAGUGAAGAGAGAUGUAGUUG